AGAGUUUGAUCAUGGCUCAGAGUUAACGCUGGCAGCGUGCAUAACACAUGCAAGUCGAGCGGGAUACCCGUUGUAGCAAUACAGCGGGUGUUUAGCGGCAGACGAGUGAGUAACACGUAAGAAAUCUGCCCCAAAGAAGGGAACAACCUGCCGAAAGGUAGGCUAAUACCCUGUAUAAUCCUUUAAUGGCAUCAUUUUGGGAUGAAAGGCGUAAGCCGCUUUGGGAGGAUCUUGCGACCUAUCAGCUAGUUGGUGGGGUAACGGCCCACCAAGGCUAUGACGGGUAGCCGGCCUGAAAGGGCGAUCGGCCACGGAGGCACUGAGAAACGGGCCUCACUCCUACGGGAGGCAGCAGUGGGGAAUUUUGGACAAUGGGGGAAACCCUGAUCCAGCAACGCUGCGUGAAGGACGAAGGUCUUCGGAUUGUAAACUUCUUUUGUUCGGGACGAAUGCCCGCAAGGGUUUGACGGUACCGGAUGAAUAAGCCACGGCUAACUACGUGCCAGCAGCCGCGGUAAGACGUAGGUGGCGAGCGUUACUCGGAAUCACUAGGCGUAAAGCGCGUGUAGGCGGGUGCUUAAGUCUGCUGUGAAAUCUCCCGGCUCAACUGGGAGGGGUCAGCAGAUACUGGGCGUCUGGAGUGAGGCAGGGGGUACUGGAAUUCCCGGUAGCGGUGAAAUGCAUAGAUAUCGGGAGGAACAUCAAUGGCGAAGGCAGGUACCUGGGCCUUUACUGACGCUAAGACGCGAAAGCUAGGGGAGCAAACAGGAUUAGAUACCCUAGUAGUCC
rnacentral:rRNA from 1 species